rnacentral:rRNA from 1 species
UACAGAGGUCCCGAGCGUUGUUCGGAUUCACUGGGCGUAAAGGGUGCGUAGGUGGCUUGAAAAGUUUGAUGUGAAAGCUCAGGGCUUAACCCUGAAAUGGCAUUGAAUACUGUCGGGCUGGAGGUUUGGAGGGGGGACUGGAAUUCUUGGUGUAGCAGUGAAAUGCGUAGAUAUCAAGAGGAACACCAGUGGCGAAGGCGAGUCCCUGGACAACACCUGACACUGAGGCACGAAGGUCAGGGGAGCAAACGGG